AGAGCAGUGGAGCACACUAGUCCCGUUGGUCGACGCUCUAAACUAAAAGUCUUCCCUGCGAAAUCGGGUAGUCCCUUCAUCUACUUCUAAUGGGAAGGGUUAAGCUGAUGAUGAUAAAGAUGUUGGAAAGCAGUAGCAACAGGAAUCGAGCUAUUGAGGGUCUGCCUAACCAUUUAGCGUUUUUUCCAAGCUCAGGUUAUGGAGUGUCACAGGAGACUGAGGUGUAACUUCUGACCUUCCGUUUUUAAGUAACUAUUAGAUACUUGGAUGGUUAUUAGAACCGGUUAUUUCUGGUUAAGAUCUUGGUUUAGCUCAGUAUUAGA